AAUUUACGGAGAGUUUGAUCCUGGCUCAGGACGAACGCUGGCGGCGUGCUUAAUACAUGCAAGUCGAGCGAAUGUAGGGGCAAGGUUUCACUUUACCCGUACAUGAGCGGCGGACGGGUGAGUAACGCGUGGGCAACAUGCCUUCUAGUCUGGGACAACAGUUCGAAAGGACUGCUAACACCGGAUAUGCUCUUAAAGAGACAUCUCUUGGAGAGGAAAGGAUACGCUAGAAGAUUGGCCCGCGUCCCAUUAGCUAGUUGGUGAGGUAACGGCCCACCAAGGCGACGAUGGGUAGCCGACCUGAGAGGGUGACCGGCC
rnacentral:rRNA from 1 species